rnacentral:rRNA from 1 species
UACGAGGGGGGCAAGCGUUGUUCGGAAUUAUUGGGCGUAAAGGGCGCGUAGGCGGUGCGGUAAGUCACCUGUGAAAACUCUGGGCUCAACUCAGAGCCUGCAGGCGAAACUGCCGUGCUGGAGUGUGGGAGAGGUGCGUGGAAUUCCCAGUGUAGAGGUGAAAUUCGUAGAUAUUGGGAAGAACACCAGUGGCGAAGGCGGCUAACUGGUCCAGCACUGACGCUGAGGUGCGAAAGCGUGGGGAGCAAACAGG